AGACUUAAUAAACCGGAGACCUCUUAUGGUCUCAAAACCUGUAUCUACCUGAGAUACCCUGUAUCUAUCUUAGAUACUAACCUGGGUUACCAAAACCCUAUAAUAAACCGGAGACCUUUUAUGGUCUCAAAAACCUGUAUCUAUCUUAGAUACUAACCUGGGUUACCAAGAACCCCUAUAUAUAUUUAGACCAAAUGUCUAAUAAACCGGAGACCUCUUAUAGUCUCAAUAUAAACCGGAGACCUCUCAUGGUCUCAAUAUAACUAGAGUCCUUACACCUUUCCUAUCUACUGGAUACAGACUUACUGAACC